rnacentral:SRP_RNA from 1 species
GCCGGGCGUGGUGGCGCAUGCCUGUAGUCCCAGCUACUCCGGAGGCUGAGGUAAGAGAAUCGCUUGAACCCAGGAGGCAGAGGUUGCAGUGAGCCAAGAUUGUGCCACUGCACUCCUGCCUGGGCGACAGAUUGAGACUUUGUCUCAA